ensembl:snRNA U6 U6 spliceosomal RNA
UUGCUUAUGCAGCACAUAUAACAAAAUUAGAACAUUACAGAGAAGAUUGGUAUGGUCCCUGCACAAGAAUGACAGACAGACAACUUCAUGAAGUAUUCAUUCCAUAU